rnacentral:rRNA from 1 species
UACGUAGGGCGCGAGCGUUGUCCGGAAUUAUUGGGCGUAAAGAGCUCGUAGGCGGCCUGUUGCGUCCGCUGUGAAAUCCCGGGGCUCAACCCCGGGCUUGCAGUGGAUACGGGCUGGCUAGAGGCAGGCAGGGGAGAACGGAAUUCCUGGUGUAGCGGUGAAAUGCGCAGAUAUCGGGAAGAACACCCGUGGCGAAGGCGGCUCUCUGGGACGGUACUGACGCUGAGACGCGAAAGCGUGGGGAGCGAACAGG